UACGUAGGGCGCAAGCGUUGUCCGGAAUUAUUGGGCGUAAAGAGCUCGUAGGCGGUCUGUCGCGUCUGCUGUGAAAACUCGGGGCUUAACCCCGGGCCUGCAGUGGGUACGGGCAGACUAGAGUGCGGUAGGGGAGACUGGAAUUCCUGGUGUAGCGGUGAAAUGCGCAGAUAUCAAGGGAGGGAACACCGGUGGGCGGAAGGCGGGUCUCUGGGCCGUAACUGACGCUGGAGGAGCGAAAGCGUGGGGAGCGAACAGG
rnacentral:rRNA from 1 species